rnacentral:lncRNA from 1 species
AAAAACUCAUCACUAAAUAAAAUAACAACAUUAAUUAAAUAAUGUUUUUCUUUAGUGAAAAUCCAACCCUCAAACAAUAAAUAGAUAUGAAUUUUGAACACUGACUAUAUCUGCACAAAGCCGUCAGCAUAUAAAUUGAAGCUAUUGAGAAAUAGCCUUAUGCAACUGAGAAGUCAAAAUAGUUCUGCAGCAAUGGAGCAUUGGAGCUGUGUUAGCAGAAUACUUGCUCCAGUCUAUUCAGCCUUGUCGAGAAAGACAAGCUAACCUGAACAGGGGAACACUCUUAUCUCCAUCUCAUCAUGUCAGAAGGUAUAUUAGAAUAGACCAGUGGGACCAGAUCAAAGUACAUGUGGAGUGCAAAGUCUUUCUCUCAAAGUGGUGAUUGAAUCUCAUUUUCCAGUGGUGCUAUGGGAAGAGAAAACAGCCCUCCUGCCCUGGUAUACUGCCCUAACAACACAAGCAGAUUCUCAGCCACAGCUGCAUCUGAACUUCUUACUCAGUGGCCAUUGGUGAAGGUGUCUCCAUGAAUUUGCUGAAUCCUGGUUUUAAUCUAAUUAUAUUUUUUAAGCCCAGUUAUAUUUCUAAAUCUACAACAUCUUGUGGAAAUGAGAUCUACAGCUUCUACUAAAUGAGCACUUCAGCCCAGAGAUGCCCAAACAGCUUGCACUACUGCUUCCUUGCCACAUCUGAGCCCAGGAGACAGGGAACAAAGGAUAAGGAGGAGAGCAGUCCAGAUUCAGGAUUCCCUUCACCCACUAGUCCUCGUAUUGAACACUAGGUAAGGAUGUACACCUUGUGUUUUUCUUUUCCUAUGCUCUCAGUGUUAGCAGUAUGAAAUGAUAGGAGGGCUGCAGAGCAGGGCCAGGCACUCAUUUCUCCCAGAAAACACCUACUUUGAUAAUUUGUCAUCACGUGGAGCUACCUCCUGCCUCUGUCUUCUGCCCAGCCAUGGGGAGAUAAAGAAACAGCUCUGAUUUUAGCAAUAAUAUUAUCUCUGACCCCCUGCUUACAUAAAGCUGUUGCUUUCUGUAAUAAUUCUAGUGUGAGAACUUAGAAAUAAGCACAGGUGGCAAAUGGUGAUGGAGCCCUAUCUCAGGCCCAUCUGGUGGCCACUGCCUUUGACCUUGACUUUGUUCCCAUCACUGACAAACAUUUAGGUAUCUCUUUGAAUGAAUAGGAUUGAGGUAAAAUUACUUUCCUCCCUUUUCCCCUCUGCCCUGACAUUUUAUAUGUGUGUGUGUGUACACAGUUGCAUAUAUAUGAUACUCUUUAUAAAAGAAAACGCAGCAGUGAUUGUUAAGAAGUAGUAAUUAUUCCCUGCUUCAUGUUUUGCUGAAUUCCUAUAUCACUCUGAAGGACAUUUAAUUAUCUUAGUAUAUAUCCAGAAAGAACUUUUACAUUCUUUCCACAUAGUGAACAAAACUUAUUUUUAAAAUAAAAAACUUAUUUUAAAAAUGUAAAGGGUAUUA